rnacentral:lncRNA from 1 species
GUGUGGAACAUGAACACCAUAUAAACCCUCAGAGCCUCCCAGUCCCGGCACAAAACCUCCUCGAGCCAAGGUAGCUGACCUGGUGGUGCUCUGCUUCGGGGAGGGCCUACACAUGUUCACACCCUGGCCUCCAGGCAAAUAGUGUUAGACGCAGCACCCAGUCGGGAGAGGCAGAGGGCCUCCCAAGGCACACUGCUGCAGGGUGAGGUCACUCAGAGUCAGCUGUUCUGCAGAAAGAGCUGAGUGUUGAACAGAGGAGUACGGAAAGGAGAGCACUGAUGGGUUUCGAAAACCGAAGCCAGAGCGAUGAGGCUCCUGCCUAAUUGUCUCUCCCUCUGAGACAGAUUCAGGGUCUGGAGGAGGGUCAAAAGAUUCACUUCUGAAGAGGUGGAGAAGCAGUCACUUCUUACCUCAAAGAACACCAUGCCACUGCCCUGUGUUUGGAGAAACGCAGAGCUUCUCGCUGUCGAGCGGGACCUGGUGAUUCAUCCAAGGUCAGUGCCGGCAGUUGAGGGAGGAGCUCCAGCAGCUCCUGAGGCAGCCUUCACUUUGCCCCCAGGGCCUGCACACACUGGAGGGGGACAGUCUGCUCCUGAGAACAAGACACCUGCCCUGCCGAAGCUGUGUUUCCUGGAAGCUUGCCUGGCUUCUCCAGCUGGGGUUAGGGACGCUUCCUAUAUGCCCGGUCCAGUAAGUGUUUUGGGGGAGUCAAGAGCUCCAUUAAAACAGCGCUCACUGAUCCGAAGACACCAUGAGCCAGAACAAUGUUAA